AUUGAACGCUGGCGGCAUGCUUUACACAUGCAAGUCGAACGGUAACAGGCCGCAAGGUGCUGACGGGUGGCGAACGGGUGAGUAAUGCAUCGGAACGUGCCCAGUCGUGGGGGAUAACGCAGCGAAAGCUGCGCUAAUACCGCAUGCGAUCUAUGGAUGAAAGCGGGGGACCGUAAGGCCUCGCGCGAUUGGGGCGGCCGAUGUCAGAUUAGGUAGUUGGUGGGGUAAAGACUCACCAAGCCAACGAUCUGUAGCUGGUCUGAGAGGACGACCAGCCACACUGGGACUGAGACACGGCCCAGACUCCUACGGGAGGCAGCAGUGGGGAAUUUUGGACAAUGGGCGCAAGCCUGAUCCAGCAAUGUCGCGUGCAGGAAGAAGGCCUUCGGGUUGUAAACUGCUUUUGUACGGAACGAAACGGUCCUGGUUAAUACCUGGGGCUAAUGACGGUACCGUAAGAAUAAGCACCGGCUAACUACGUGCCAGCCGCCGCGGUAAUAC
rnacentral:rRNA from 1 species